AACGAACGCUGGCGGCAUGCCUAACACAUGCAAGUCGAACGAUCCCUUCGGGGAUAGUGGCGCACGGGUGCGUAACGCGUGGGAACCUGCCCUUAGGUUCGGAAUAACUCAGAGAAAUUUGAGCUAAUACCGGAUAAUGUCUUCGGACCAAAGAUUUAUCGCCUUUGGAUGGGCCCGCGUUGGAUUAGCUAGUUGGUGGGGUAAAGGCCUACCAAGGCGACGAUCCAUAGCUGGUCUGAGAGGAUGAUCAGCCACACUGGGACUGAGACACGGCCCAGACUCCUACGGGAGGCAGCAGUGGGGAAGAUUGGACAAUGGGCGAAAGCCUGAUCCAGCAAUGCCGCGUGAGUGAUGAAGGCCUUAGGGUUGUAAAGCUCUUUUACCCGGGAUGAUAAGGACAGUACCGGGAGAAUAAGCCCCGGCUAACUCCGU
rnacentral:rRNA from 1 species